AUUGAACGCUGGCGGCAGGCCUAACACAUGCAAGUCGAACGAGUGGCGGACGGGUGAGUAAUGUCUGGGAACCUGCCCGAUAGCGGGGGAUAACUACUGGAAACGGUGGCUAAUACCGCAUACUAUCAGAUGUGCCCAGAUGGGAUUAGCUAGUUGGUGGGGUAAAGGCUCACCAAGGCGACGAUCCCUAGCUGGUCUGAGAGGAUGACCAGCCACACUGGGACUGAGACACGGUCCAGACUCCGACGGGAGGCAGCAGUGGGGAAUAUUGCACAAUGGGCGCAAGCCUGAUUCAGCCAUGCCGCGUGUAUGAAGAAGGCCUUCGGGUUGUAAAGUACUUUCAGCGGGGAGGCGUUACCCGCAGAAGAAGCACCGGCUAACUCCGUGCCAGCCGCCGCGGUAAUAC
rnacentral:rRNA from 1 species